rnacentral:misc_RNA from 1 species
GUACUUUGCACUGGGUUUUUGGACUAUGCUUAGAAGAAUUUGGUCUUCAAGCCUACAGCCUAUCUCUUUUCAAUUUUCAUGGAUUGCAGACUUUUGCCAAAUUACCCCAAAAUUGAAAAAUUGAACCAAACCUAACCAAUUGGUUUGGUUUGGUUUAUAUACUUUGAAACUUUAGUUGUUCAGUUUUUUCAGUUUAGUUCAAAA